UGAGACUCUUAUCUCCAACUAGCCACAAGAAAACCGGAAGUGGCACUGUGGCUCAAGUGGUAGAGCACUAGCAUUGAUCUGAAAAGCUCAGGGCCAGUGCCCAGGCCCAGAGUUCAAGCCCGAGGAUUAGCAAAAACAAAAAUAAAAACAAACUUAAA